GACGAACCCUUGCGGCGUGCUUACACAUGCAAGUCGAACGGAAAGGCCCUGCUUUUGUGGGGUGCUCGAGUGGCGAACGGGUGAGUAACACGUGAGUAACCUGCCCUUGACUUUGGGAUAACUUCAGGAAACUGGGGCUAAUACCGGAUAGGAGCUCCUGCUGCAUGGUGGGGGUUGGAAAGUUUCGGCGGUUGGGGAUGGACUCGCGGCUUAUCAGCUUGUUGGUGGGGUAGUGGCUUACCAAGGCUUUGACGGGUAGCCGGCCUGAGAGGGUGACCGGCCACAUUGGGACUGAGAUACGGCCCAGACUCCUACGGGAGGCAGCAGUGGGGAAUAUUGCACAAUGGGCGGAAGCCUGAUGCAGCAACGCCGCGUGCGGGAUGACGGCCUUCGGGUUGUAAACCGCUUUCGCCUGUGACGAAGCGUGAGUGACGGUAAUGGGUAAAGAAGCACCGGCUAACUACGUGCCAGCAGCCGCGGUGAUACGUAGGGUGCGAGCGUUGUCCGGAUUUAUUGGGCGUAAAGGGCUCGUAGGUGGUUGAUCGCGUCGGAAGUGUAAUCUUGGGGCUUAACCCUGAGCGUGCUUUCGAUACGGGUUGACUUGAGGAAGGUAGGGGAGAAUGGAAUUCCUGGUGGAGCGGUGGAAUGCGCAGAUAUCAGGAGGAACACCAGUGGCGAAGGCGGUUCUCUGGGCCUUUCCUGACGCUGAGGAGCGAAAGCGUGGGGAGCGAACAGGCUUAGAUACCCUGGUAGUCCACGCUGUAAACGGUGGGUACUAGGUGUGGGGUCCAUUCCACGGGUUCCGUGCCGUAGCUAACGCUUUAAGUACCCCGCCUGGGGAGUACGGCCGCAAGGCUAAAACUCAAAGGAAUUGACGGGGCCCCGCACAAGCGGCGGAGCAUGCGGAUUAAUUCGAUGCAACGCGUAGAACCUUACCUGGGUUUGACAUGGAUCGGGAGUGCUCAGAGAUGGGUGUGCCUCUUUUGGGGUCGGUUCACAGGUGGUGCAUGGCUGUCGUCAGCUCGUGUCGUGAGAUGUUGGGUUAAGUCCCGCAACGAGCGCAACCCUUGUUCACUGUUGCCAGCACGUUAUGGUGGGGACUCAGUGGAGACCGCCGGGGUCAACUCGGAGGAAGGUGGGGAUGACGUCAAGUCAUCAUGCCCCUUAUGUCCAGGGCUUCACGCAUGCUACAAUGGCUGGUACAGAGAGUGGCGAGCCUGUGAGGGUGAGCGAAUCUCGGAAAGCCGGUCUCAGUUCGGAUUGGGGUCUGCAACUCGACCUCAUGAAGUCGGAGUCGCUAAUAAUCGCAGAUCAGCAACGCUGCGGUGAAUACGUUCCCGGGGAU
rnacentral:rRNA from 1 species